CACGUAGGGGGCAAGCGUUGUCCGGAUUUAUUGGGCGUAAAGAGCUCGUAGGCGGUGUGUCGCGUCGGCCGUGAAAACCUGCAGCUUAACUGUGGGCUUGCGGUCGAUACGGGCAUCACUGGAGUUCGGCAGGGGAGACUGGAAUUCCUGGUGUAGCGGUGAAAUGCGCAGAUAUCAGGAGGAGCACCGGUGGCGAAGGCGGGUCUCUGGGCCGAUACUGACGCUGAGGAGCGAAAGCGUGGGGAGCAAACAGG
rnacentral:rRNA from 1 species